UACGUAGGGCGCAAGCGUUGUCCGGAAUUAUUGGGCGUAAAGAGCUCGUAGGCGGCCUGUCGCGUCCGCUGUGAAAUCCCGGGGCUUAACCCCGGGCGUGCAGUGGAUACGGGCUGGCUAGAGGCAGGCAGGGGAGAACGGAAUUCCCGGUGUAGCGGUGAAAUGCGCAGAUAUCGGGAGGAACACCGGUGGCGAAGGCGGUCUUCUGGGCCUGUACUGACGCUGAGGAGCGAAAGCGUGGGGAGCAAACAGG
rnacentral:rRNA from 1 species